ACUUACCUAGAUAAUAUGAUUAAUCAACUUUUGAUUAAGUUGCUCAUUGAUUCGUGCUAACCCAUACUGUAUAAGUAAAUCAGUGUGACUGAUUUAGGUGCUUCUAAAUUGACCAGCUAGUCUUGAGUUCUCUUCAUGACUUGGUGAAGUCAGUGGAAAGAUUUAUAACUAGUUGGGUAGACCAGAUUAAGCUUAAUCUUCUUUGAUCUAACUUGGUGAAGUUAGUAAGAGAAUUAAGAAUAGC
rnacentral:lncRNA from 1 species